rnacentral:rRNA from 1 species
UUGGAGGGCAAGUCUGGUGCCAGCAGCCGCGGUAAUUCCAGCUCCAAUAGCGUAUAUUAAAGUUGUUGCAGUUAAAAAGCUCGUAGUUGAAUUUCGGAAUUCAUCCCUUGGUCGGGCUUAACUGUCCGCAUUGGUGUGAUGGAUUCCUACCUUCUGAAUAACCGGCAUGCCAUUUAUUUGGUGUUUUGGGAAACCAGGACUGUUACCUUGAAAAAAUUAGAGUGUUUAAAGCAGGCUUAUGUCUGAAUAUAUUAGCAUGGAAUAAUGAAAUAGGACGGCAUGGUUCUAUUUUGUUGGUUUCUAGGAUCACCGUAAUGAUUAAUAGGGAUAGUUGGGGGCAUUAGUAUUCAAUUGUCAGAGGUGAAAUUCUUGGAUUUAUUGAAGACUAACUUCUGCGAAAGCAUUUGCCAAGGAUGUUUUCAUUAAUCAAGAACGAAAGUUAGGGGAUCGAAGACGAUCAGAUACCGUCGUAGUCUUAACCAUAAACUAUGCCGACUAGGGAUCGGACGAAGUUAAUUUUAUAAUGACGCGUUCGGCGCCUUACGGGAAAC